GUAGUAAUGUAUUCCAUUUAGGAAGGUUAGACAUGUUUAAAUUAGUGUGGUACUUAAAGUGGAGCGUCUACGAAAUGUGUUCAAGUCUAGCUGGAGGGAUGAAAGUAACUUGUUGGCUGCUCCGUAAUCCACUUAAUAAGGAAUUGCUUAUGAAGCUGGAUAAUAAUUCUGUUUUCGCAUGGUUUCCUGCGGCUCAAAUAUUGAAGCUUAUUUGCCCGACCGGCCGGGCCUUUGGCCUUCGCCUGCAGACGGGGAUGCGCAGCCACUGGGAAGGUGAUGCGCAGCCACUGGGAAGGUGAGCUGCAGACUGACACCUGGGUGACCAGUGCUUUGUCGUUCCCCUGAGAUGAGGGUGAAGAUGAGACUCAUGUGAUCCCAGAAAGGAGAAUGGAACUGUUCCCUGCUGCCUGAACUGAAGCUCAUUUGCACGACCGGCCCUCAGACCACCCGGUCGGACCUUUGGCCUUGCUCUGCGGACGGGGGGGUGCGCAGGUACAGGGGGAAGGUGAGCUGCAGACUUUGACACCUGGGUGACUGGUGCUUUGUUCCUCUGAGAUGAGGGUGAAGAUGAGAAACCCAUGUGAUCCCAGGAAGGAGUAUAGAGCUGCUUACCGAGUCCAGCAGUGUUGCCGUUCCCAGCCCUGGCUGGUGGCUCCAUGCUCUUCCUGAGAUGUUGAGAACUGAAGGCUCCAGGUGUUGAGAGGAUUGAGCAGCCAGGUGAGGACCACGAUUCUUCACCAGAGUGAAUCAACGAUGCUGACGUGAUCCCUGCUGAUUUGGUCAUGGAGCUCAUUUCCAGGGCUUCACGGUCGCUGGUCCUGGGAGAGGGAUCUUGCUGUUGCUGGGUAACAACACCUCUGGAACGUCAGGAUUUUCUGUGUUGGACCUCCACCAGACACUUCCAACACGUCUCGUAAUAAACAUCAGUUUUGUCACUCAUAAUAAACAUCAGUAAAGCCA